AGUGCCCUCAGUGCUGCGAACUGAACAUGCUGAAGGCAAUGUUUUUCUGUGAUUAUAUGGUUUCACCAGCCAUUAUGAUGAUAAUAUUAUCUACUAGAGUCUGUGGCGCUAGCUAGCACUAAGUUAUAUAUUGAUUUUUCCACUGAAAAUUCUUUCUUGGGCUCUGACUAGGUGGACAAUUCUAAGUAAAGGUUUUUCUAACUUCUAUCACUGUUACUUGGGCCCUGAGGUUUUCUAUUAAAAUAGGACAUGAAAUAUUUCAAUAUUAUGCAUAUUCCUGGAAUAAUUAAAAUUUAUACUGAUUAUAAAGCUAGGCAUAUAAUACAUCCCAAAAGACAUACAUUUCAAAGCAGACCAAACAUUCAAAUCUUCAGAUCCCCC
rnacentral:lncRNA from 1 species